rnacentral:sRNA from 1 species
UGAACUCACAUCCCUGGUUGGACCUGAAGCAUUUGGGGGCAGGAGCUCCCCUGCAGCUUUUUGCUUUUGGCGUUUGCUGCUAGUGGGAGGAUCAGUGCACAUCUACCUUAGGGUACCUGUAAAAUUACAACUGCGGAAAAUACCCAUAGUGGUGUUGCACUGUAUGGUAGCCACUAGUAACUUGCACCUGUUGAACACUUAACCGUUCCUACUGUACACUGAGAUGUGCUAUAACCUUAAAAUACACACCGGAUUUCAAAGACAUAGUACAGAAAAAGAGGCUGGGCACAGUGGCUCAUGCCUGAAAUCACAGUACUUUGGGAGGCUGAGGUGGGAAGAUCGCUUGAGCUCAAGAGUUUGAGACAAACCUGGGCAACAUAGCGAGACCUUGCCUCUACAAAAAAAUACAAAAAUUAGCCUGGCAUGGUGGCACACGCCUAUAGGCCUACCUAUUUGGGAGGUUGAGGCAGAAGGACUGCUUGAGCCUGGGAGGUUGAGGCCACAGAGAGCUGUGAUCACACCACACUCCAGCCUGGGCAACAGAGCAAGACACUGUCUCAAAAAAAACAAAGAGUACCACUAUCACAUGAAUACAUUUUUUAUUGAUGACAUGUUAAAAUAUUUUGGAUAUAUUGGGUUACACAGAAUAUAUCGUUACAAUUAAUUUUUCCUGUCUCUUUUCUUUUCUUUUUUCUUUUUUUCUUUUUAAACGGCGUCUUGCUUUGUCACCCAGACUGGAGUGCAAUGCACUGCAACCUCCGCCUCCCAGGCUCAAGUGAUUCUACCAUCUCAGCCUCUGGAAUUAUGGGACUACAGGUGCACACCACCACGACUGGCUAAUUAUUGUGUUUUUGUUUGUUUGUUUGUACAGAUGAGAAAUCUCAUCUCUACAAUCAUGAGGUUUCCAUGUUGCCCAGGUUGGUCUCGAACUCCUGAGCUCUAGCAAUCUGUCUGCCUCGGCCUCCCAAAGUGCUGGGAUUACAGGCAUGAGCCACCGUGCCCAGCCCUUUCUAUUUCUUUUUACUUUUUGACAUGGCUACUAGAAACUUUUAAAUUACAGGGUCUUGCCCUGUGGUAGCUCACGCCUGUAAUCCCAAUACUUUGGGAGGCUGAGGCAGGUGGAUCCCUUGAGCUUAGGAAUUUUGAGACCAGCCUGGGCAACAUAGUGAAACCCCAUCUCUACCAAAAAUACGAAAAAUUAGCUUGGCAUAGUGGCACACACCUGUGGACCCAGCUACUUGGGAGGCUGAGGUGGGAGGAUUGCUGUAGCCUGGGAGGCGGAGGUUGCAGUGAGCCAAGAUUGUGCCACUGCACUUCAGCCUGGGCGACAGAGCGAGAGCCUGUCUCAAAAAAAAAAAUAUAUGGCUCGCGUUAUGUUUUUAUUGGACAGCACAGCUCUGUAGGAUUCCUUGUGACGCAUUCACCAUCUCGGUCAUGAGAAUCUUUAAAGCAGUAAAUGCUUUGCUUUUGUCCAUCUUGCUAUAAUCAAAACUGACUCAGGACCUGCAUUAAGGCUCUUUUUUUUUUAACCUCAUCUCUUAACUUUUUGAUGCAACUCAUCUUAGUGAAAUUGUGGUCUCCUCCUACAGCAACCCUCCCUCAAAAAAAGACCGAACACGCAAUUCUCAUCUAUCUAACUCUGUUAACAAUCAUAUGAGGAGGAAAUAAUCACAUGAUAAUGAGUGGCAUGAAACCCUGUGUCUCUAAAUUAAGCAACUCACUGUACUUGAUGAGUACAUCAGUCUUCCUGCCCCAAGCUUUUGUGUGUCAGACUGGAAUUAAAUGGAAGCUUACACUGCAGCUGAAUUCCUAGAAGCCCUGGACUUGUCAGGGGAAAAACCCAUGGGGGGAAAGCCCAUCUCUAGGCUGGGCAAUGAACUUGGAGACUGCUCGAUCACACACACUCAUAAGUAACAAAACCAUUAAUUUUGUUUCUUUUUUUUUGGUGGAGGGACAGAGUCUUACUCUUGCCCAGGCUGGAGUGCAGUGGCAUGAUCUCAGCCCACUGCAAUCUCCACCUCCUGGGUUCAAGUGAUUCUCCUGCCUCAGCCUCCUGAGUAUGUGGGACUACAGGCACCCACCACCACACCCAGCUAAUUUUUUGUAUUUUUAGUAGAGACGGGGUUUCACAAUGUUGGCCAGGCUGGUCUUGGACUCCUGACCUCAACAAAACCAGUGAAUUUCUGAAGUCUCAGCAUCUAGGACUUAGAAGAAGGAGAAACCUAGCAUUUCCUGAUUCUAUAAAUAACAACACUGAUAGUCUCUAGUAGAUGUUUAACAGCAGUUCGAAGGGGAGGGGUUCUGAUUUGUAGUACUGGCCAAUUUCCACGGUGUCAGUACUUGCUCUGUGACCAACGAUGACUCACAAACAUUGUUGUAAACAUUUGACCUACAUUAAUUCUUUUACCCUUACAAGAAUCCUGUGAAGUUCUACUAUCAUUCCCAGAUUAUAGAUGGGAAAAACUGAGGCACAAUGAGGUUAAGCGCCUUGGCCAAAGUUACGCCUUGUGAAUGGUGGAGCUGAGCCAUGAGCCAAGACCUCUGCCUCCAGUCUGUCCUAACCCCUAUAAGCUAAUGCCUAUAGAUGGUUGUUUUUUUUGUUGGUUUUUUUGGGGUUUUUUUGUUUUUUGUUUUUUUUUGAGACAGAGCCUUGCCCUGUCACCCAGGCUGGAGUGCGGUGGCAUCACAGUUCACUGCAGCCUCCGUCUCCCAGGCUCAAGUGAUCCUCCCACCUCAGCCUCCCAAGUAGCUGGGAUUUUUAUUGGACAGCACAGCUCUGUAGGAUUCCUUAUGACGUAUUCACUGUCUCAGUCACGAGAAUCUUUAAAGCAGUAAAUGCUUUGCUUUUGUCCAUCUUGCUAUAAUCAAAACUGACCAUGCCCAGCUAAUUUUUUAUUUUUUGUAGAGAUCCCUAUGUUGCCCAGGCUUGUCUCGAGCUCUUGGGCACAAAUGAUCUUCCCCCCUUGACCUCCCAAAGUUCUGGGAUUACAGGCGUGAGCCACUGUACCCAGCCCCUUUGGAUUUUUAAUUGUUCAAACUGGUAGUCAUAGUCCCACUUCAGAGGAGAGAACCAUAUAUGUGACCAGAAUUCUUGGGGGAAAAGUAAGAAACUACUCUUAAAAGUUCCUUAAAGGGUAGAAUUCUCUUUUUUAGAAAGAGUAGCCUAGGGGUGUCCAAUCUUUUGGCUUUCGUGGGCCACAUUGGAAGGAGAAUAAUUAUCUUGGGCCACACAUAAAAUAUGCUAACACUAACAAUAGCUGAUGAGCUAAAAAACAAAAGUUUUUUGAUCACACAAAAAAAAUCUCAUAACGUUUUAAGAAAGUUUACGAAUUUGUGUUGGGCCUCAUUCAAAGCCAUCCUGGGCCGCAUGCGGCCUGUGUGCUGUGGGUUAGACAAGCUUAGAGUAGAGCAUAGUGGGUGAGAGAAGAGGCUUCAGCUGCUUCUGGCUUGAGUUCAAAUCCUGACUCUGCCACUCACUAGCUGUGUGACCUUUGGCAAGUGACUUAACCUCUCUGUGUUUCCAUUUCCUCCUCUGUAAAAUGGAAAUAAUAAUAAUGAUACCUGUCUCAUAAAGUGGUCAGGAUUAAAUGAGUUCAUACAUAUAAAGAGCUUAGAUCAGUGCCUGGUGCCUAUAAACACUCCAGUGGUAACUGUUAUAAUUUGUAUUAUCUCUUGGUGAUUCCCAUAGGUCACAGGCAUUGAAAGUGCUCAAAGGGCCAGGCGCAGUGGCUCACACCUGUAAUCCCAGCAUUUUGGGAGGUCGAGGUGGGCGGAUCACCUGAGGUCAGGAGUUCGAGAUCAGCCUGGCCAACAUGGUGAAACCCCGUCUCUACUAAAAAUACAAAAUUAGCCAGGCGCGGUGGCGCAUGCCUGUAAUCCCAGCUACUUGGGAAGCUGAGGCAGGAGAAUUGCCUGAACCCGGGAGGCGGAGGUUGCAGUGAGCCAAGAUUGCGCCAUUGCACUCCAGCUUAGGCAACAAGAGCGAAACAUCGUCUCAAAAAAAAAAAAAAAGAGAAAGUGCUCAAAUGUAAUAAAGACAGUAUUCAUCGAGCGUUUUCUCUGUGCCAUCAGUGUGCUGAGUGCUUUACCUGCACCAUCUCAUUUAUUUCCCACAAACCCUCCUGUGGUUUAGGUGCUACUAUCCCCAUUUGGCAGAAGUGGAAAUAGAGUCCCCUAGAAGGUACGUAGCUUGUAAAAAGUCAUGUAAUUAGUCAACACCGUACUUCCAGCCACUGGCCAGCAGAAGCUUCCCCAUCAAUUCAAAUCCAUUGAAUCCUAAUGGCAAUUUAAGAGGCCUGUUUUAUUUUAUAGGUGGGUGUUUGUGUGGGAAAAGGGCUACCAGGAAACUGACUCCGUGGUCAGCUCCGUUACAACCAAGGUCAAGGGCGUGGCUGUGACCAACACUUCUAAACUUGGAUUCCGGAUCUGGGAUGUGGCGGAUUAUGUGAUACCAGCUCAGGAGGAAAACUCCCUCUUCGUCAUGACCAACGUGAUCCUCACCAUGAACCAGACCCAGGGCCUGUGCCCCGAGAUUCCAGAUGCGACCACUGUGUGUAAAUCAGAUGCCAGCUGUACUGCCGGCUCUGCCGGCACCCACAGCAACGGAGUCUCAACAGGCAGAUGCGUAGCUUUCAACGGGUCCGUCAAGACGUGUGAGGUGGCAGCCUGGUGCCCGGUGGAGGAUGACACACACGUGCCACA